GAUGAAGAACGUAGCGAAAUGCGAUAAGUAAUGUGAAUUGCAGAAUUCAGUGAAUCAUCGAAUCUUUGAACGCACCUUGCGCUCCUUGGUAUUCCGAGGAGCAUGCCUGUUUGAGUGUCAUUAAAUUCUCAACCCUUUCAGCUUUUGCGAGCUGGAUUGGCUUGGAUAUGGGGGUUUGCGGGCUUCUCAGAAGUCGGCUCCUCUUAAAUAUAUUAGCGGAACCUUUGUGGACCAACUUUGGUGUGAUAAUUAUCUACGCCAUGGUUGUGAAGCAGCUUUACAUGGGGUUCAGCUUCUAAUCGUCUAUUAACUUGGACAAUUUCUGACAUUUUGACCUCAAAUCAGGUAGGACUACCCGCUGAACUUAAGCAUAUCAAUAAGCGAGGA
rnacentral:misc_RNA from 1 species